rnacentral:rRNA from 1 species
GAUGAACGCUAGCGGCAGGCUUAACACAUGCAAGUCGAGGGGUAGAGGAAGCUUGCUUCCUUGAGACCGGCGCACGGGUGCGUAACGCGUAUGCAAUCUACCUUGUACAGGGGGAUAGCCCAGAGAAAUUUGGAUUAAUACCCCAUAGUAUUAUUGAAUGGCAUCAUUUGAUUAUUAAAGUUCCAACGGUACAAGAUGAGCAUGCGUCCCAUUAGCUAGUUGGUGUGGUAACGGCACACCAAGGCGACGAUGGGUAGGGGUCCUGAGAGGGAGAUCCCCCACACUGGUACUGAGACACGGACCAGACUCCUACGGGAGGCAGCAGCGAGGAAUAUUGGUCAAUGGGCGCAAGCCUGAACCAGCCAUGCCGCGUGCAGGAUGACGGUCCUAUGGAUUGUAAACUGCUUUUGUACAGGAAGAAACACUCCCUCGUGAGGGAGCUUGACGGUACUGUAAGAAUAAGGAUCGGCUAACUCCGUGCCAGCCGCCGCUGUAACAC